CCAGGAUGUCCCAUGAGACACACUUGAAGGGAGGCUAAGGUGAGGGCGGCCUUAAGAAUAUUCUGGUGAAGAAACACAUUCCCUGAGCUACACAUGAAGACAUUUAGCUGCUCUGUAACUGGGGUGGGAGGAGGAGAUGCUGAGCUGAGACGAAGAAAUGAACACGUUUGCGUCCAGUUCCCUUACUGUGAAGUGGGCGUAUUGGCCCCUGUCCUGGGGUCUGUCCCUCCCAGGUUGUGCCCGGAGCUCUGAGCACCUGGUCGCCGCCACCUGGUUCCACCUCCAGCCUCCACCCCGUGCCCAGACCACAGACCUGCCUGGCCCACCCACAAGCCCCCCACUUCCUCUCCUUCCUCCCCAGGACCUCGGGAGCACACGGAGCUUCUGUGAUUUAGACCAUUGGAAUGAAUACUUAUUCUAAGUGUGGAUGCAUUUUGGGGACACCCUGUACAUACCAGUUGAAUCAAUAAAUAUUUAUCUGAACGGAA